GCAGGUAUAGCUCAGCGGAAGAGCAUCUGGUUGCCAAUCAGAAGGCCGUGGGUUCGACCCCCACUACCUGCU
rnacentral:tRNA from 1 species